GACGAACGCUGGCGGCGUGCUUAACACAUGCAAGUCGAACGAAGAGCGAUGGAAGCUUGCUUCUAUCAAUCUUAGUGGCGAACGGGUGAGUAACGCGUAAUCAACCUGCCCUUCAGAGGGGGACAACAGUUGGAAACGACUGCUAAUACCGCAUACGAUCUAAACUCGGCAUCGAGGAUAGAUGAAAGGUGGCCUCUACAUGUAAGCUAUCACUGAAGGAGGGGAUUGCGUCUGAUUAGCAAGUUGGAGGGGUAACGGCCCACCAAGGCGAUGAUCAGCAGCCGGUCUGAGAGGAUGAACGGCCACAUUGGGACUGAGACACGGCCCAGACUCCUACGGGUGGCAGCAGUGGGGAAUCUUCCGCAAUGGACGAAAGUCUGACGGAGCAACGCCGCGUGAGUGAUGACGGCCUUCGGGUUGUAAAGCUCUGUUAAUCGGGACGAAAGGCCUUCUUGCGAAUAGUGAGAAGGAUUGACGGUACCGGAAUAGAAAGCCACGGCUAACUACGUG
rnacentral:rRNA from 1 species